rnacentral:rRNA from 1 species
UUUUUGGAGAGUUUGAUCCUGGCUCAGGACGAACGCUGGCGGCGUGCCUAAUACAUGCAAGUCGAGCGAAUCUGAUGGGAGCUUGCUCCCUGAUGAUUAGCGGCGGACGGGUGAGUAACACGUGGGUAACCUGCCUGUAAGACUGGGAUAACUCCGGGAAACCGGGGCUAAUACCGGAUAACUUUUUUCUUCGCAUGAGGGAGAAUUGAAAGAUGGCCUCGGCUAUCACUUACAGAUGGACCCGCGGCGCAUUAGCUAGUUGGUGAGGUAACGGCUCACCAAGGCGACGAUGCGUAGCCGACUUGAGAGGGUGAUCGGCCACACUGGGACUGAGACACGGCCCAGACUCCUACGGGAGGCAGCAGUAGGGAAUCUUCCGCAAUGGACGAAA